rnacentral:rRNA from 1 species
UACGAAGGGGGGCUAGCGUUGUUCGGAAUCACUGGGCGUAAAGGGCGCGUAGGCGGCUUUAUAAGUCGGGGGGUGAAAGCCUGUGGCUCAACCACAGAAUUGCCUUCGAUACUGUAGAGCUUUGAGACCCGGGAAAGAGGUAAGUGGAACUGCGAGUGUAGAGGUGAAAUUCGUAGAUAUUCGCAAGAACACCAGUGGCGAAGGCGGCUUACUGGUCCGGUUCUGACGCUGAGGCGCGAAAGCGUGGGGAGCAAACAGG